rnacentral:rRNA from 1 species
AAAUGAAUAGACGGGAGCCCGCACAAGCAGUGGAGUAUGUGGUUUAAUUCGACGCAACGCGAAGAACCUUACCAAGGAUUGACAUCCCGAGAAGUUGGCGUAAUGGCUGACGUGCCCUUCGGGGAAUUCGGAGACAGGUGGUGCAUGGUUGUCGUCAGCUCGUGUCGUGAGAUGUUGGGUUAAGUCCCGCAACGAGCGCAACCCUUACUGUUAGUUGCUACGCAAGAGCACUCUGGCAGGACUGCCGUUGACAAAACGGAGGAAGGUGGGGACGACGUCAAAUCAUCAUGCCCCUUAUAUCUUGGGCUACACACGUACUACAAUGGCGCAAACAAAGGGUCGCAACCUCGCGAGAGGAAGCCAAUCCCAAAAAUGCGUCCCAGUUCGGACUGCAGGCUGCAACUCGCCUGCACGAAGUUGGAAUUGCUAGUAAUCGCAGAUCAGCAUGCUGCGGUGAAUACGUUCCCGGGCUUUGUACACACCGCCCGU